UACGGGGGGAGCAAGCGUUGUUCGGAUUUACUGGGCGUAAAGGGCGCGUAGGCGGCGCAACAAGUCACUUGUGAAAUCUCCGGGCUUAACCCGGAGCGGCCAAGUGAUACUGUCGUGCUAGAGUGCGGAAGGGGCUACUGGAAUUCUCGGUGUAGCGGUGAAAUGCGUAGAUAUCGAGAGGAACACCUGCGGCGAAGGCGGGUAGCUGGGCCGACACGUGACGCUGGAGGCGCGAAAGCCAGGGGAGCGAACGGG
rnacentral:rRNA from 1 species